rnacentral:lncRNA from 1 species
GUCCUAACCUAUGAAGCAGUUGUGUGCGUCACAGAAAUAGGUGACUUUAAAAGAGUGAAGAAACUCUUAUCUUUCAAUGUCGGUUAUUUGGAUGAGAAGGAUGUAUUUUGGAUUGUAAUUGUUGAUACUAAAGCGUCUUGUGUGCAAGACGUGGCAAAGUUUGCUGUGGCAAAGCAUAAUGAAGACGAACAUGAUAGUCUUGUCUACCUUUCUAUCACUAAAGGUUGGUAUCGAGAACUUGACCCGUAUAAUGCUAUAUUCUUCGAAAUUCAUCUUACGACGAAGGAUUGUUUUGGACGAGUGCGUGAGUUUAAGGCUUUGGUUCUAGAAGACAAACCUCAAAAGGAGAAAAUCCGAACACUCAAAUAUUUCGAAGUUAUAAAGAAAUGUUGAAAACUUGCUAUCUAUAUGUAAGUGAGAGUGGUUAUGUUAUGUGUUAUGUCUAUGUUCUUGACUAUAUAUCCAUAAAUGAAUAGUCAAGUUUAAACUAAAUAAAACGUUUUAAAUUAUAUGUCACUCUUUAUGCCAAAUUUUAUUAAGGAAGUUGUUUAUAUUAUAACCUAUUAGUUAUUGGGAAUUUAUACGAGAUAUAAAUAAAGUCACUUCAUUAAAAUGAAAAUGUAAUAGAUCGAUGGUAAUAAGAAAUGUGUGGGGUGCCAUUUGAUUGCUUUUAGCAUUGUUUACUUAUGUUCUAUGAUCGUAUUGACACAUGAGGUCACUUCCAACUUAUAAUCAACAAAUGCAAAUUGAUUCACAAAUUAAAGGCAUUCAGUUCAAUUGCACCUAGUAAUUAAGUUGUAUAUUUGUUACUGUGUUUCGGUUACAACUACCAUUAUUGUUAUUGUUUCAGCUGAAAAAUUAUCAAUUUGACAUUUUAAUAUUGUCGUUAUUGUAAUCGCUUUGGAAACCUUAUCCUUUGAAUUCCUAAGUCGUAUAAGAAGUUAAGUAGAGGUUGUUGUUGAUGUGUUGUGUUGUUAACGUAGCUUAAUUGAAGGAUUAAAGGCUUGUUUGAAAUUCAACUAAGUGUUUGGGAGCUAGGGUAACCAACUUAGGUGUUAUGAGAACCUUCAAGAGUAUGAUGACCAAUAGUAGUUUAAGUGGCCAAGUAGAAGAGCCCUGGUGUGAAACUCCGAUCUGCAAAACAACAAGAAUGCAGGAAGUAGUGUAGAUAGGACACAAUUUAGCUUAAAACCUUGCAAUUGAUCUUAUCACCUAACUCAAACUCAACCCCUUUUAAACUACCAAGUGAAAAACAUAACGUAAUGGAAGUCAACAUAAACGUCAAGUACAAUAAUUAACAUAACCAAAACUUACGCUUAUUUAGAAUGAUUUUGACCACAUGGUUAUAUUGGUACAAUAUGUAGUUUAUUGAAAAUGGACUUGAAGGAGAUGCUGAUUCUGGCGGUGAAGAAGAUGAACCGGAGGACACUGAUGGUGUGAAAGUGGAACAUCUCUACACAUUUCAGAUUAUCAAGGUUUUGCACUAAUAACCGAUUGAUUUACUAUAGUGAUGAAGCUACCAAGCAAGUGAUUGAUGUUUGAUUCGUGACAAGACUUGUUGCAAUUUAGUUAUCUAUGACAAUACAUUGCAUUUAGUUUCUUUGUAAAAAUAUAUUACCAAUGUUUAGUUUCUAUUUCACUUGUAUUUAUCCCUUUGGGAAAAUUCGAUAGAUUUAGUGUACUUAGUUUUUUUGUAAAUAUGUUAUCUAUGUUAUUUUUAUAUAUGAAAGUUCUUAUUUAUAUGUGUACUAGUUUUGUGUUAAAAUGGAAUCAUUGGAUAACAGGAAAAAAAUCUAAUUGAAUUACAAUUUUUUUUAUAAAAAAAAUUCAUAACAUAUUUGACGGUUAUAAAAUGUCAUAAACAAGUCCAUCCUUGACGGUUUUUCAAUGUCAUAAACAAUCAAUUUCUUGACGGUUAUUAAAUGUCAUGAAUACUUAUACUCUUGACGAUUUUAAGUUGUCAUAAACAUUCACACUCUUGACGGUUUUUACCUGUCAUGAACAUUUGUAUACUUGACAUUUAUAAAACGUCAACGUUCAAUAUUCUUGACGUUUUUAUCAACCGAUAAGAACUUUGGCUUUCUUGACACUGGCUUCAAGGACGGUUAUAUUAAUUUGAUUCAUGAUAAAAUUAUUGGUUAUGAGAGAAAUUUGUAUUUGAAUAUGAUUCAAAUUUAACUUAUCUUAAAUAUAAGAUAUUUAAUUUAGUUGUUAAUUAAUUAGAGAAUUAGUUAAUAGUUUAUUUUAAUAUUAUUUAAUUAAAUUAAUAUAAAACUAUAAGAUAUUAUUGAAAGAUAUUCAUUAAAUAAGAUUUAAAUAAAAUAUUAAUUAAAUAUGAUUUAAUUAAUUAUUAACUAAUUGAUUACUUGUUAAUUAAUUAGUUGAUUUGAAAUUUAUGCUAAUUUAAUAUUUUUUAAAUUAAUAGAAUCUCAUGAUUCUCUUCGACUCUCUUUCCUUAGAUACAAUUUUCUUUAACAAUUCAAUCAACCAAAAUAAAACUAAUAAUUUUGUUUUUCCACAAAAGAGUUUCUCUAAAAAAAUCUCCAAACUUUUUUCCAUCCGAAUUGGUUCCCCACAAACCAAUCUCAUCUCAAAAAAUACGGAGGUGUCCGAAACCAAUCUCAUCUCAAAAAAUAGGGAGGUGUCCGAUGGGUGAUGUCCCAAUUUUGUGAUUUAUUUUGUAGAUUCAGAGAUGUUAACACAAGUAAGUUUUUCUUUCUCUAAUCUAUAAUUAGAAAACAUGCUUAGCCGUUAAGUCUUAAUAAGAAAAUUUGUUUUUAUUGUAUUUUGUCAUUCUACUAGUAUUUUGGGAUUUCCAAAUUAAAUUGAGAAAUGAUUCUAAAAUCUUUCACUGCCAAUGACUUUUAUCCCUUCAACGAUGGCCUGAGAAACAAUCUCUAAAUUUUCUGUCUUUCAUCCUACCCAGCAAGCAUCAAGAUGCUCAUGCCUUUGUUCUGGGCCUAAUCUUUGUUUUCCAUCUCCCCGAAGAUUACUCAACUUAGUAAGAAAAUAGGAUAGAAGAUACAGCUAUUACAUUCUUCCGCUCUUUGCUUACUUUGCUUGCUUAGCUUUUCUUAGAUCACAAAUGAGGAUCAUGCCUCUUAUUUAUAGGCAUAAAAUCCUUGGAGCCUAAUGUGUCACACUUCAUCCCGAACAUAUCCUAACAAAGCGAUACACAGUGUGACUUGAGUAUUCAUGACUUGUUUAAACAAAAGAAACCUCAACCUAGGUUCUUAAGCUUAGCUCAAAUGCCUGAUCACUGAGCACUUACACUUAUUUUCACAUUUGUAAGUGAUAUUAUAACAUUAUAACACAACGAAUAAGAGAUAAAAAAACAACUCCAUUUCAUUAACUUUCAAUUAUGUGAUCUACAUUACACUUUACAUACAUUGAAGCACAUGUAUAAAACUUAAUUUAAAUGCUCUAGGAUAGCCUUCUGGCCUAGUUAGCCUCUUAAGCCCUUCUUACUCUAAGAUGAACGCCUAAUCACCUGGGAAGUGGAAAAUCUUAAAACAUAAGUCAAAAGACUUAGUGAAUGAAGUUUUAAAAAAACCUUUUCGAAACAUGUUACAUAAAUCAUAACUAUUUCAAUCGUAUAAUACAUAAUACACAUUAGUCUUGUGUCUCUUUCGUCGGAAACAUGAACCAUUCCCUAAGUUAAGACCCAGCAUCUUAAUUCAUUCAUCAUUGCUCAGGUCGCCUAACACAAUACACAUCUUUUAUACAUUGGCUAGCUUCACUCUAUCCGUAGUCCCUUUUUACAUCACUGCAUUACUUCUUAUGUGCACAUAGUUAGCUCUUUGAUAGGAUUAAAACUAAUGCUUUGAAAAUAUUCUUUCACAUUCGUUGAAACACAAAACAUUGCUUUUAAAACAUAAGCUUUCAUUUAAAUUUAUUUAUAAGUACUCAUUACAAACAUGAAUUCAAAAGAAAGCUUUAAGUUUACAAACAUUUACAAAUAUCACUCACUCACAAAAUUCAGUUGCCUUAAAUCCAGAUUGCUUCUACACUUCUUCUUCUUGCGUAGUCCUUCAACAACAACUUCAACACUUAGUUUUUCUUUUUCAAACUUUUAGAAUAACUUCCUUCUUCUAAUUCCUUCCUCUAUUUAUAAUAAUCCUAAUUUCGAUUAGUCAUCCUUAAGGUUCCUAAAAUAUGGCCAGCUUCUACUUGCUUAAAGUAUUAUACGUGUAAGCUUAGUAUUUCACUCAAUCUUACUUAACUUCAGCUUAACACGUAACCCUUGUCAAAUCAAAUUGAUAUUUUCUCGCUUGCCUUUUCUCGCAAAGAACUCUACUCGCCUAACUGCCUUUUAAUCGCCAAAGUCCUUAUCAUGUUGCCUUCAUUACGGAAUAAGACUUAAACACCUAAACGUCAGUUUUCAAAAUAUAAACUUCUUCAAAAUGCCUUCUCUCAAUAUUUAGUAAAAAAUUUGACACUUCAAAUAUAAACUUGGGUCUCACACAAUGUAAAGCCAUGAUCCAAAGAAAAGGGGUUGUGUUAAAGAGGAGUUAUGUUAAAAAGAGACAUUUUGGCUAAGCGUAAAUAAUAAGCAAUCUGUGAUCAAGGAUGCCUUCAAGGAAAGGUGAUGCAAGGAGAGAUGCUUACAGUCACUGUUGCGUCGAAGCGAGGUGACGCGAUAUGAUUAGCUGGCGAGGAAGAAGCAUGCAUUUAAUGCAAAGAACUAGACAACAACACGGGAAUAAGUACCUAUGCCUAAAGUGUUGAUGCAAUGAAUUAAGUGUUUCAUUGAAAGGAUGGAUGUUCGUAUGAGGCGACUAGACGACUAUCUGAGGGAAAGUAAAUGUUCUAUUAUUUUUCAAGAAGGGAGUCAGAUGAAAAAGAAUUGAGCAUUCCAAAAAGAUAAGGUUAGCGUUUCAAGAGAAAUAUCUAAUUGCGAGUAACAAUUGGCAACGUGUUGAAAUUAUGUUGGUUGUAUAGCUUGAUGAGUUAUAGCUUGACACAUGUAAAGCGUGGAAAUGACCCAUGAGUUUGAAAGGUCGCUAUAAAUAGGACCAAAGAGGUCGGAAGAAAGAGGGGCAUAAGAUGCUAAACAUUAUGAUUAAUUGUUAAGAGAAAGUGUCGAGUGUUGAAAGGUCGAUUAAGGGAAUCACUAGGCAAGACGAGAAAGCCAAAAGUAAGAAAAGGAAAGAGUUUAGGCUAAGUAUUUCUGUGAGUGAUCCUUUUAAAUGAAAGAAAUAUUUUGUGAAUGAUUGCUCUUUUUAAUCUUAUGUUUGACGAUUAACAUUUGAUAAUGAUACUAAUGUGAUGUGAUGUGUUGUAUGUAAUGCUUUUGAGAUAAUGCUUCUUAUCUUAUUGGCUGUAAUGAUUGAAUGAUGUAUUGGUGGAAGUGAAUCCCAGGUCUAGGGCAAAUAAAUGUUGAUGAAAGUGAAUCCCAAGUCUGAGCGAGAAAUGAAUUUUGUUCUUCAUAGUUGGGUGCUGGUGAAAGUGAAUCGUAGAUCUAGGUGAGGUUGUAUCAUGAGACACUGGUGGAAGUGAAUUCCAGGUCUAGGGGAUGGUCUCAGGUUUGAGUGUAGAACGAUCAUUGUGAGACACUGGUAGAAAUUUCAAGUUUAUCACGAGACACUAGUGAAGUGAAUCCCAGGUUCAGGGGAUUGGAUGUGGAUUGAAGAAUCUCAGGUCCCGAUGAUAAAUGAUGAACAUGCUGAUGAAUGAAAUGUAUGGAAUUGCGUUCUUAAGAAUAAGAUUGUUAUUAUUGAAAAUGUUGUUUUCCCUAAAAAUGUAUUUUCUCUAAACUCAUCACUCACUAACUUUGUUACUUAUAUUUUAAGUUUUUCUUCCCCAGGUUGUCAGGCGUUGAAGCUAAGUAAAGAAUGGAUGUCAGGUGUAGAAGCCAAGUAAAGGAGGAAAGGUGGGAUGUUAUGUAAACUUGCACGGUGAGAAAGGUGGUCCUCUGUGUACAUGAAUCUUCGAUUAUUGUUUUCGUUUCACAAAUAUUCUUAGAAAGUAAUAUCGGUAUCAUUUUUCAUCCUUGUUUCUUGAAUUUAUUCUUUUAAGUUCCAAUACAAAGAUAUAUUGCCCCAAAAAAAAGGUAUAUAAAAGAUGAUGAAAUGUGAAUUACCUUUUUUUUAUCUUUAUUAUAAAGAAUUUGGUGGAUCUUUGAUUCAUAGGUAACGUCUCCAAACUACUUUACAAGUUAUGAAGAUCCUCCAUUUAUACUCCUGAUUUCAGAAUGCUCCCACUUGUAAAGUAGUUUGGAUACCUUCUGUGGAAAGCUUUUUAUGCUAUUGUCUAGGGUCUUUAGGGAGAAAAACAAUAGAAUUUUCAAAGGAGCCGAGAGACCUUUGUGUGAGGUGUGGUGUCUUGUGAGAUAUCAUGCCUUUUUUUUUUUGUGUUUUCGUUUAUAAGGAAAUUAUCUUGUAAAUACCUUACCACCACCACCUUCUUGAUUUAAGAUAUUUGCAUUGGUACAUACAUAUGUAACAGAGAAAAACAAUUGCAAUAAGUGAUCGUGGUUCUUAUUUUAAUUACACUUUUUCUUACUUUUAUAUUUUUAAAGACAAAAGAAAAGAAUAAAUGGAAUUUGUUGUUGCAUACUUGUUUUGUACCUUCUUUAAUUUUUUUUUUCUCCUUUUCAACUGUUGUCUUUAUCUUGAGUACUAAGAUAGAAAUAUGAAAUCGUGCUUCAAUUUAGAAGUACUUGAGCCUGUAUUAAUAGCAAAUUGUGGUGCAGCUGACCGUUGUUUUCAUGGUAAUGGUAAUUUCUAUGCAAGAGUUGUACACCAUUUUCUCAUUAGUAAAUGCUCAUGUUGUUAGAUUGUUAGAUUCUUUGUUAGGAAUUUGGAGUAAGGUAAAUGGCCCUAUUUAUUCUCUUUCUAUUGGGUUAAUGAUUCUUCACAUGAUUGAAUGGGUGACCUCUGGUUUGAUUAAUCUUCAUUCUUUUGAGAAAUUAGAUGUUGUUAGCCAUGCGACUUUAACGUCUUCAUAGGAAAGUUAUGCUUCAUUUUUGUUGUUGUAAUGUCUGCAGCUAGAAUAUUGAGGUCUUUUAAUACUUACAAAGGUUUAUUAAGUAUUUUUAACUACGUUUCUUUGAAACUUACCAACUAGUGUAACUAUGUUUUUUAAGCUUGUGGUCAUAUGUCGAUUUCUUAAUGUCAAUGAUAUUUUGUUGUUAUCCAAGAAGAGAACUCAAACCUUUUAUUUGAUAAUUUUGUUUGGUUUCUAGCAUUUUGUACUACUUUGCUAUUUAGUUAAUGGUUGAGAUUUUUUUAUACGCUAAAGUAAUUGUUUCACCAUGUGCUAACAACUUUUUUCUCAACGACAUUCCUUUAUGAAGUUUCCCUCCGUAAGAUGCAUGAAAAGUCCAAGAGUGAGGUAUUGUUUAGCUUGCCUAGUUUCACUUAUUGAGCAGGUAACAAGUUUUUUUUUUUUUUUAUGCCUUGACGAUUUUGAAUUAUUUUGCAUUGAAAUAAUUUUUUUUUCUAUUAACAUUUAUUUAGUUCAUCGUUGGAGAUGAUGAAUUUUCUUAUUGUCCCAAUCUUUUGGUCUCUUUUAUGUCCAAAAAUGAUCUUUUAUUCUCUUUCGACAUCUGUUUAAACUUACUUUCUAGUUUAUUCCUCUCUGAUGAUUUUCAUUUGUUGUUUGCUCCUUUUUUAUAGACAAGAUAUCUUCAUUUCCGAAACUGACCUGUCGAAUGGGGGUGGUGCCAGGAUCUCCAGUUUUUUAUAUUUGUAUUUGAGAGACAUAAAAUGUGAAUUUAGUAUCAUUUGCUUUUUUGUGAAUUGAUUAAUGAGAUAUUGAUGGUGUUGCAUUUGAGUGCACAAUUUACUAACUUGCUCCUUUGUCCACUAGCUCUUGGGUCAACCCAUAUAUUUUGUGUGUGCCAUUUUCACUGUUUUUUAUUAAUGGCUGAAAUUUCAUACUUUUUGCUUUUAGUGUACUUGUAAAUUGUUUCAAACUUGAUUGAAAAUGUUAUAAUUAAAGUUAUGGUUGUUGUUCUCUUUUGUUGUUUGUCAUUUCACUGUAUCUUAAUUAGCUUUAAAUAGAACACUCUUUAGUCAUACUCUAAAAUGAUAUUUUUUUUUCUUACUAGGUUUGGAAGAAUCCAUUGGAGCAGUGAAGCCAACAAGGAGAAAUGGAUUGAUAUAGGAUUUUUUAUAUGGUUGGUAGAAAAAUAUUGGUUCUAAUGUAUUGAUUUUAGGCUUGUUGGUAGCUAAAGAUGUCAAUGUUAUUUUUUUGUAUGUAAACUACCUUUUAACAAAAAAAAUGGUUAUUAGUCAAUGGGUGUACGAAUAUUACAAAGUGUAUUACAACAUUUAUAUAUAUUAAAGUGUCGACUUUUUGUUUCCUAUAUGGGUGUGAUGUAUUAAAACAUUAUUGUCAUUGAAAUGGUUAAUGUAAUGACAGAGCGGCAAGAAGAACAGAAAAAAAAAUUAGUAAUUAAGGAAUAUACGACAGGAAAAAAUGUCAUAAUAUACGAAUUUGUGACAUUUUCUAAUUGUUGUCAAUAUUAAAACAACGACAAUUUAAUUUUAUAAAAAACUGUCACGAUUGACCUAUCUUUGACAGAGAAAAAUGUCAUAAUAUACGAAUUCAUGACAUUUUGUAACUGUUGUCAAUAGCAAAACAAUUACAUUUGCUUUUAUAAAAAAAAAUUGUCACGAUUGGCAUAUCCUUGCAGAUAAAAAAUGUCAUAAUAAAUGAAUUUACGACAUUUUUUUAAUUGUUGUUAAUAUGCAAAUGAUGACAAUUAUUUAUUGUCAUAAAAUAAAAUAUGACAAUUAUUUGUUGUCAUAAAAUAAUAAUCAAUGAUAUUUAUUUUAUGUCAUGAAAAAACUUAUUGUGACAAUUUUUGAAUACUAUCAUGGAAUGACUUUCCACAACAGGCGAUACUAUGACUGUAAGUAACUGUCACGAAUUUUGUUUGCGACAGAAAAUAACUGUCAUCAUAGACCAUUUUUGUUGUAGUGGAUCGUGUCAUCCUGUUUCUUAUUUAAGGAGUUUGUAUGCCAAUUCGUAUACUCCCAAUUGUCGAGGACUGCAUCUCAAUUCUGAAGAGAAGUCGAGUGCAACAUCAUAGUUUUAAAGAAAUACCAAGGACAACAACUUACUUUUGUGUGGUCCAAGACGAUGAGUGGAAGAGCUGAGCCAAAGAUGAAGAGCCUAGAGCUAUCGUUUUAAGUCUUGUGAUUUUAAAAGUUUAAAUUCCAGUUGUACUUUGUUUAAUGAAUUGAGUUAAUAAAGAGAAGAAGUUGUGUCAUUCUGGUGCAUUAUUAUUUGUGCUUAUCAACUAAUAGUUAAAAGCUAUGUUCCAUUAAGUUAUUGGAGGCUAGACGAUAGUGCUAGCUGGUCUAAAAGUUAUCUUUUCACAGUUGCGAUAAGCUUUGAGUGUUUCUAAAGUUCAAAAUAAAAGUUUUUUGAUGAGACAAGUUUAGGAAGUUGUUCCACUCACUAGAUGUUCGAUAUGUCAUCUUGCGACGAGAUACACGAUGAGUGUCUAGGCCGGACGUCCCCAUCUAGUUUCAUGGAGUGGCAUUUAGGGCGAUGUUGAAGCCAAAGAUUUCUCUAAAAUUCUAACUAGUUUAGAUAUAUUUAAUCUCAUCGUAAUUAUCUUAAGGAAUUCAUUCAUUAACCUAAAAAGUUUAGAAUGUUUCUAUAUUUUUUCUUAGAUAUUUAUUUACAUCUUUUAACGUAAUUAUAGAGAGAUCUAAUAAUUUACAUACUAAUUAUAUAUUAUGGAUACUUGGAUACUGUUCUAGAAUAGUUAGUGUUGCUAUAUAGUGUAGUAUUAUUUACUUUAUUUUUUGAGUUUAAUGACAUUGUUGUCCUUGUUCUUAAUUAUUUUUUAUUUCCAUGGUUUUGGAAAUCAUUUGGAAUCUAGAAGUUGAUUAUUUUUCUGAUGCCUAAUAUAAUAUAUGCUAUUCUAAAAAAUUGUGAUUGCUUUUAUUGUUAAACAUAUACAACUCUAGCAUGCUAGAUUCUUUGGUCAAAAGGAGAACACUUGAAUACUUUGAUCAAAUUGAGAGAACUUCGCUGAGUAAUGGGUCAAGUGGAAUAUAUAAAAUUUGUAUCCCCAAGACAUGUAUUAGUUUAGGGUUUUACAAACAAAAACAACAA